rnacentral:rRNA from 1 species
UGAGGAAUAUUGGUCAAUGGGCGAGAGCCUGAACCAGCCAAGUAGCGUGCAGGAUGACGGCCCUAUGGGUUGUAAACUGCUUUUAUAUGGGAAUAAAGUGAGGGACGUGUCCCUUAUUGCAUGUACCAUACGAAUAAGGACCGGCUAAUUCCGUGCCAGCAGCCGCGGUAAUACGGAAGGUCCAGGCGUUAUCCGGAUUUAUUGGGCGUAAAGCGCGCGCAGGUGGUUUAGAAAGUCUGAUGUGAAAGCCCACGGCUCAACCGUGGAGGGUCAUUGGAAACUAAUAAACUUGAGUGCAGGAGAGAAAAGUGGAAUUCCUAGUGUAGCGGUGAAAUGCGUAGAGAUUAGGAGGAACACCGGUGGCGAAAGCGGCUUUUUGGCCUGCAACUGACACUGAGGCGCGAAAGCGUGGGGAGCAAACAGG